rnacentral:rRNA from 1 species
UACGUAGGGUGCAGGCGUUAAUCGGAAUUACUGGGCGUAAAGCGUGCGCAGGCGGUCUGUGAAGACAGGUGUGAAAGCCCCGGGCUUAACCUGGGAAUGGCGCUUGUAACUGGCAGGCUAGAGUGUGUCAGAGGGAGGUAGAAUUCCACGUGUAGCAGUGAAAUGCGUAGAGAUGUGGAGGAAUACCGAUGGCGAAGGCAGCCUCCUGGGAUAACACUGACGCUCAGGCACGAAAGCGUGGGGAGCAAACAGG